rnacentral:rRNA from 1 species
AAACCAACAGGGAUUGCCUCAGUAACGGCGAGUGAAGCGGCAAAAGCUCAAAUUUGAAAUCCGGCGUCUCUCGGCGCCCGAGUUGUAAUUUGAAGGCAGUUUUCUGGUGCUGGCGCCCCUGUCUAUGUUCCUUGGAACAGGACGUCGCAGAGGGUGAGAAUCCCGUCUGGCGGGGGUGUGUGGCCUUUGUAGAUUUCUGGCGACGAGUCGAGUUGUUUGGGAAUGCAGCUCUAAGUGGGUGGUAAAUUCCAUCUAAAGCUAAAUACUGGCGAGAGACCGAUAGCGAACAAGUACAGUGAUGGAAAGAUGAAAAGAACUUUGAAAAGAGAGUGAAAAAGUACGUGAAAUUGUUGAAAGGGAAGGGUGUUGGAUCAGACUUGGUGCUUUGCGAAUAUCUUCCCCUCGUGGGUUGUGCACUCGCACUGCGCUGGGCCAGCAUCGGUUUGGACGGCAAGACAAUGGCGUGGGGAACGUGGCACUCUUUUGUGUGUGUGUUAUAGCCCUGGCUGAUGUUGCCUGUGCGGACCGAGGACUGCGGCGUUUGUGCCUAGGAUGCUGGCGUAAUGAUUCAACACCGC